rnacentral:lncRNA from 1 species
CGGACAUAAUAUGUUCCCUAAGAAAGAAUACACUGAUUGGAAACAUGACUAUAAGAUUGGAACUACUGAUAUUUUAAAUGCUUAUGCCGGACAUGCAUAUCCGAGGCAUGGAAUACACAACUGAAGCUACUCAUAGGCUGAAUUCUCAUAAUGAAUCAUGCAUAUCUGAUGCAUGGAUCUGUGACCGAGUUGUUCUCAUGAAUGCAGGACUGAAUACACUGAUAAGCUGAACUUUUCUAUUGAACAUGCAUUUCUAAUGCAUGCAUAUCUGACUGAACUAGCGUAUGAACGUAUGGCUAAAUACGCAAUAAUAACUGAUGUGAAGCUUGUAAUAAGAAUCUAUGCAUGC